rnacentral:rRNA from 1 species
AUGUCAGUGGUAGGAGAGCGUUCUAAGGGCGUUGAAGUCAGACCGUAAGGACUGGUGGAGCGCUUAGAAGUGAGAAUGCCGGUAUGAGUAGCGAAAGAUGGGUGAGAAUCCCAUCCACCGAAUGCCUAAGGUUUCCUGAGGAAGGCUCGUCCUCUCAGGGUUAGUCGGGACCUAAGCCGAGGCCGAAAGGCGUAGGCGAUGGACAACAGGUUGAUAUUCCUGUACCACCUCUUUAUCGUUUGAGCAAUGGGGGGACGCAGGAGGAUAGGGUAAGCGCGCUGUUGGAUAUGCGCGUCUAAGCAGUUAGGCUGCAAGUGAGGCAAAUCCCGCUUGCGUGAAGGCUGAGCUGUGACAGCGAGGGAAAUUUAGUACCGAAGUUCCUGAUUCCACACUGCCAAGAAAAGCCUCUAGCGAGAUAAAUGGUGCCCGUACCGCAAACCGACACAGGUAGGCGAGGAGAGAAUCCUAAGGUGAGCGAGAGAACUCUCGUUAAGGAACUCGGCAAAAUGACCCCGUAACUUCGGGAGAAGGGGUGCUCAUUUGGGUGAAUAGCCUAGAUGAGCCGCAGUGAAUAGGCCCAGGCGACUGUUUAGCAAAAACACAGGUCUCUGCGAAGCCGCAAGGCGAAGUAUAGGGGCUGACGCCUGCCCGGUGCUGGAAGGUUAAGAGGAGGGGUUAGCUCACGCGAAGCUCUGAAUCGAAGCCCCAGUAAACGGCGGCCGUAACUAUAACGGUCCUAAGGUAGCGAAAUUCCUUGUCGGGUAAGUUCCGACCCGCACGAAAGGCGUAACGAUCUGGGCACUGUCUCAACGAGAGACUCGGUGAAAUUAUAGUACCUGUGAAGAUGCAGGUUACCCGCGACAGGACGGAAAGACCCCGUGGAGCUUUACUGUAGCCUGAUAUUGAAUUUUGGUACAGCUUGUACAGGAUAGGUAGGAGCCGUAGAAACCGGAGCGCCAGCUUCGGUGGAGGCGUCGGUGGGAUACUACCCUGGCUGUAUUGAAAUUCUAACCCGCACCCCUGAUCGGGGUGGGAGACAGUGUCAGGUGGGCAGUUUGACUGGGGCGGUCGCCUCCUAAAGAGUAACGGAGGCGCCCAAAGGUUCCCUCAGAAUGGUUGGAAAUCAUUCGCAGAGUGUAAAGGCACAAGGGAGCUUGACUGCGAGACCUACAAGUCGAGCAGGGACGAAAGUCGGGCUUAGUGAUCCGGUGGUUCCGCAUGGAAGGGCCAUCGCUCAACGGAUAAAAGCUACCCCGGGGAUAACAGGCUUAUCUCCCCCAAGAGUCCACAUCGACGGGGAGGUUUGGCACCUCGAUGUCGGCUCAUCGCAUCCUGGGGCUGUAGUCGGUCCCAAGGGUUGGGCUGUUCGCCCAUUAAAGCGGUACGCGAGCUGGGUUCAGAACGUCGUGAGACAGUUCGGUCCCUAUCCGUCGUGGGCGCAGGAAAUUUGAGAGGAGCUGUCCUUAGUACGAGAGGACCGGGAUGGACGCACCGCUGGUGUACCAGUUGUCUUGCCAAAGGCAUCGCUGGGUAGCUAUGUGCGGACGGGAUAAGUGCUGAAAGCAUCUAAGCAUGAAGCCCCCCUCAAGAUGAGAUUUCCCAUAGCGCAAGCUAGUAAGAACCCUGAAAGAUGAUCAGGUUGAUAGGUCAGAGGUGGAAGCGCGGUGACGUGUGGAGCUGACUGAUACUAAUCGUUCGAGGACUUAACCAAUU